rnacentral:lncRNA from 1 species
UUCAGAGCCCAGCAGGAGCUGCAGGAGCCCUCAGCCUUUUUCAGACAUCAGGGCCAGCACCCAGGAGUUCUGCUGGCCACAAUGGCACCUGAGCCAGAAGGGACCAUCAGUGGGGGAUCCGGCUGCAGGCCCCAGCCCCAUCCAGCCUCCCCCCGGCCCAGGGUUUCCACAGCCAUGUUCAGAGUUAAUGGUCUCCCGGGAAGGAGAUCCUGAAGGCCUUACCAUGGGUGGGAAGUGUUGGCACCACCUGCCCACGCUGCGUCCCCGUGGCCAGCGUCCCAGAACUCCAUCUUUGUCCUCCUCGCCCUGGGUCACCCUGCAGCAGGAGGUGACGAGGAAACAGCUCCUCUCCUCCUCCUCCUCCACACGUCACCGCAGCCCCGCUCUGCCCCAGCCUCCCCUCGCCGGCUCCCGCUCGGGGUCGGCGGCUCCUUGCAGCAGAGCGGUGCUGAGAGCAGCCCCAGCACCUGGGCUCCCCCGACCUCACUGCAACGUGUGGGGAGAGGCUGGGGCCGCGCGGGAGAGGGCAGCUAUCGCCGUAACACGGGAUGUCCCCUGUGACCACAGCCCCGUCACAGAGGGGGCACGGCCCCCCUCGCCCCAGGGCCCUGGCCAGGGGCUGCAUGGGGCAGUCAGGGGCUGCCCCUGCCCCCAAUGCAGGCCGGGCCACAGGGAGAACCCCGCCAGGGGUCCUGACUGGGCUGGGCGCUGCAGCUGCGCUCACCCAGCCAUGGCCCCCGCACGGAAAACUUGGCUGCAAGAGAGGGCAGUGGGCACUGCGCCACGCUCGCCCCACAGUGACACAUCACAGGCGGCUGCUGCCGCUGGGGAGGAAGUGCUGACAACUGAGCGCACCAAAACACCCAGCAAUGACUUGGCAGCGACCAAAACCUUCUUCUGGGCGCUUGAACCAGCGGGUCCUUCCCUUGCCAGUGAGCUUCUCCAGAAAACUUGCAGGGAACCAAUGUUCAGUACUGUUAACCUGCAGAUGUGUUUGAGACCUAGUGACUGCGGCACCUCAGGGCCUGCGGUGGAUGGGGACUGAACAGGGGAAGAGGCAGCACCAGCAGAGCUGCAGGCACCAGCUCACUAAACACAUGGGGAUCACAGACUGCUCUGCCUACACUGCUCUCACACCUGCACCAGCUAUUGGCCUCCUCACACCAGCCCACAAACACUUAAACCAGCAGAACUG